rnacentral:lncRNA from 1 species
GUAAGCAUCCCUAUGCUAAUCAUAUCAUCUAUAUGAUUCAUGAUCGACCUUUCGGUCUCAUGUGUUCCGAGGCCAUGUCUACACAUGCUAGGCUCGUCAAGCUUAACCCGAGUGUUCCGCGUGCGCAACUGUUUUGCACCCGUUGUAUGUGAACGUUGAGUCUAUCACACCCGAUCAUCACGUGGUGUCUCGAAACGACGAACUGUAGCAACGGUGCACAGUUGGGAAGAACACAAUUUCGUCCUGAAAUUUUAGUGAGAGAUCACCUCAUAAUGCUACCGUCGUUCUAAGCAAAAUAAGGUGCAUAAAAGGAUUAACAUCACAUGCAAUUCAUAAGUGACAUGAUAUGGCCAUCAUCACGUGCUCCUUGAUCUCCAUCACCAAAGCACCGGCACGAUCAUCUUGUCACCGGCGCCACACCAUGAUCUCCAUCAACGUGUCGCCAUCGGGGUUGUCGUGCUACUCAUACUAUUACUACUAAAGCUACAUCCUAGCAAAAUAGUAAACGCAUCUGCAAGCACAAACGUUAGUAUAAAGACAACCCUAUGGCUCCUGCCGGUUGCCGUACCAUCGACGUGCAAGUCGAUAUUAUCUAUUAC